CAACUCUCAAAUAUUUCUACUAUAAUAUUAUAAGCAUGGCCAUCAAGAGUAUUUCAGUUCUUGUUUUCAUGCUACUUAUACUUUUCAUUGGUCGCAAUAUUGAUGCAGAUCAAAAGUGUUGUAAGGAUCACCGAGAUAUAAGUCCAUGUAUAGCGGGGAAAGAUGAUAAUCCAGAAUUGGAUGGCAAAUGUUGGAGAUAUUGCAAUGAUGAACCUGAAUCAUGUGAGCGUGGAGGAGCUUGUAAAUCAGUUGGGGAAAAGACUUUAUGUCAUUGCACUUGUUCUUAGUUUAAUUUCUGCAAAAAUUGAAAUUUGAAAUUUAUAUUUAAUCUCAUUCAUUAAAGGGCACUUUCGUCCUUUUCGAUGAAUCAUAGUGAAUGUUUUAAUUCUAUAAAAUAAGUUUCUUUUUAAUAUAGUAUGAAGUUGAAUGA